rnacentral:rRNA from 1 species
UACGUAGGAGGCGAGCGUUGUCCGGAAUUACUGGGCGUAAAGAGCGUGUAGGCGGCCAGAUAGGUCUGCUGUGAAAACUCGAGGCUCAACCUCGAGACGUCGGUGGAAACCGUUUGGCUAGAGUCCGGAAGAGGAGAGUGGAAUUCCCGGUGUAGCGGUGAAAUGCGCAGAUAUCGGGAAGAACACCCGUGGCGAAGGCGGCUCUCUGGGACGGUACUGACGCUGAGACGCGAAAGCGUGGGGAGCGAACAGG